rnacentral:rRNA from 1 species
CCUACGGGAGGCUGCAGUGAGGAAUAUUGGUCAAUGGACGAGAGUCUGAACCAGCCAAGUAGCGUGAAGGAUGACUGCCCUAUGGGUUGUAAACUUCUUUUAUAUGGGAAUAAAAUGUUCCACGUGUGGGAUUUUGUAUGUACCAUAUGAAUAAGGAUCGGCUAACUCCGUGCCAGCAGCCGCGGUAAUACGGAGGAUCCGAGCGUUAUCCGGAUUUAUUGGGUUUAAAGGGAGCGUAGGUGGAUUGUUAAGUCAGUUGUGAAAGUUUGCGGCUCAACCGUAAAAUUGCAGUUGAAACUGGCAGUCGUGAGUACAGUAGAGGUGGGCGGAAUUCGUGGUGUAGGGGUGAAAUGCUUAGAUAUCACGAAGAACUCCGAUUGCGAAGGCAGCUCACUGGACUGCAACUGACACUGAGGCUCGAAAGUGUGGGUAUCAAACAGGAUUAGAUACCCGUGUAGUC